AGAGUUUGAUCCUGGCUCAGGAUGAACGCUGGCGGCGUGCUUAACACAUGCAAGUCGAACGAGAAGCUAUGCUAAGGUCCAUCGAGAUCUUUAGGGUAGCGGAAAGUGGCGAACGGGUGAGUAACACGUAGGUAACCUGCCCUGAAGUGGGGGACAACCACUGGAAACGGUGGCUAAUACCGCAUAAGUCUGUAUGGACGGGAGUCUAGACAGGUAAAACUGAGGUGCUUCGGGAGGGGCCUGCGUCCGAUUAGCUAGUUGGUGAGGUAAAAGCUCACCAAGGCAACAAUCGGUAGCUGGUCUGAGAGGACGAUCAGCCACAUGGGAACUGAGACACGGUCCCAACUCCUACGGGGGGCAGCAGUGAGGAAUAUUGCGCAAUGGGGGAAACCCUGACGCAGCAACGCCGCGUGGAGGAUGAAGGUUUUUGGAUUGUAAACUCCUUUUCUGUGGGAAGAGAGCGGACGGUACCACAGGAAUAAGUCACGGCUAACUACGUGCCAGCAGCCGCGGUAACACGUAGGUGGCAAGCGUUAUCCGGAAUUACUGGGCGUAAAGGGCACGCAGGCGGUCAGGUAAGUUCGGCGUGAAAGCUUCCGGCUUAACUGGAAGAGGUCGUCGGAAACUACUUGACUUGAGGUAGUGAGAGGGGUGCGGAAUUCCAGGUGUAGUGGUGGAAUGCGUAGAGAUCUGGAGGAACACCAGUGGCGAAAGCGGCACCCUGGCAUUGACCUGACGCUCAUGUGCGAAAGCGUGGGUAGCGAACGGGAUUAGAUACCCCGGUAGUCCACGCUGUAAACGAUGAACACUAGGUGUGGGUGGAGUUAAAUCCAUUCGUACCGAAGCAAACGCGAUAAGUGUUCCGCCUGGGGAGUACGGCCGCAAGGCUAAAACUCAAAGGAAUUGACGGGGACCCGCACAAGCAGCGGGAGCGUGUGGUUUAAUUCGAUGCAACGCGGAAGAACCUUUACCUGGGUUUGACAUGUACGUAGUAGUGAAAGGGAACCUGGGACGAGGCUUCGGCCAGCCGUAACACAGGUUGCUGCAUGCUGUCGUUCAGCUUCGUGUUCGUGGAGAAUGUUUGGGGUUUAAGGUUCCGGCAACGAGA
rnacentral:rRNA from 1 species